rnacentral:rRNA from 1 species
UGUAUGAGAAUCUACCUAAAGUCUGGCAUAAUAGAAAUUCCAGAUAUUAAUAAAGAUUGAUAUCGCUUUUAGAUGAGCUCAUAUAAGAUUAGGUAGUUGGUAGGGUAAUGGCUUACCAAGCCUACGAUCUUUAGCUGGUCUGAAAGGACGAUCAGCCACAUUGGAACUGAGACAAGGUCCAAACUCUUUUAUAUGAGGCAGCAGUGGGGAAUAUUGGACAAUGAGCGAAAGCUUGAUCCAGCAAUAUUUCAUGAGUGAACAGACAGUUGUCAAGUUGUAAAACUCUUUCAGCAAUAAAUU